rnacentral:lncRNA from 1 species
UCCCACUCAUCCGAGUUGUAGUGGGGCAGCGCCGGGUGGGUGUGCUGCAGGUAGGUGAUGAGCACCAGGAACCCGUUCACCACCAGCAGCGGCACGCCGUAGAGGGAGACGACGGCGGCGAGGGAGUAGGCGGCGGCGCAGCGGUAGACGAGGAAUGCGGCGGCGAGGAUGCCGGCGUCGGAGACGAAGAUCUGGAGGCGCUCGCGGUCGGAGUAGAUGGGGCCGUAGGGGUCGAAGUGGCAGGCGAAGGAGUCGUAGGGGCGGCCGGAGACGUUGAAGGCGAGGUAGAGGGGCCAGCCGAUGGUGAGGGAGACGAAGAGGGUGAGGAAGCGGCCGGGGGGUUGUUGAGGUACUUGGAGAACCAGGCGAGCUGGGACUUGGGCUUGGGGACGAAGACCUCGUCGCGUUCGAGGCUGCCGGUGUUGGAGUGGUGGCGCCGGUGGCUGUACUUCCAGGAGAAGUAGGGGACGAAGAGCGCCGAGUGGAGGACAAGCCCGACGAUGUCGUCGACGAGGGAGUAGUCGGAGAAGGCGUGGUGGCCGCACUCGUGGGCGAUGACCCAGAUCCCGGUCAUCACGCAGCCCUGCACCGCCCAGUAGAGCGGCCACGCGAGGAGCCGCAGAGGAGCGGGGAGGAGCGGGAGGUAGGCGAUGGCGAGGUAGAGCAGGACGGAGACGAUGGCGAGGUCCUGGAAGACGAAGGAGAAGGAGCGCACCAGGGAGCGGUUGAAGCAGUGCGGGGGGAUGGCCUUCUUGAUCUCGCCCAGGGUGAAGGGCGGCUUGGCGGUGGGCACGCGGCGGAGAGGGUCCCUGUUGCUGUUCUGGGCAGUGAAGUCUCGGCCCUCCACG